GACGAACCGUGCAAACGUUACUCGGAAUCACUGGGCUUAAAGGGCGCGUAGGCUGUUCGUUAAGUCGUGGGUGAAAUCUUUCGGCUCAACCGGAAAAUUGCCUACGAUACUGGCGGGCUGGAGGGAGGUAGGGGCGACGGGAACUGCCAGUGGAGCGGUGAAAUGCGUUGAUAUUGGCAGGAACGCCGGUGGCGAAAGCGCGUCGCUGGAUCUCUCCUGACGCUGAGGCGCGAAAGCUAGGGGAGCAAACGGG
rnacentral:rRNA from 1 species